AGGUUGAGUUCUAUUUAGUAUCCAGCCUAAACUUCUCAACCAGAUUUAAAUUAUUAAGUCUUACGUACGUGCACUAGUCACCCUAAGAUUAUUUAGCAUUAUUUUCCAAUUUAUUGCUUCAUCAAGCAACUCAUGAAAAUUGAAAGUUCAACAAAAUAUAUAUAAUCACGAGUGUGAUUUUCUUCAUCCAACUUUGAAGCUUUAUUAAGAUCGAAAAACCAUCCGUCCUUACAGUGAAUAGUGAAAUUAUCAUCAAUAUAUAUAUUUAGUGUUUUAAGUAGUUUCUUUUUUUUUUCUUUCCUUCCCA